AAUGAGCCUGCGAGUUGUGGUGUCUGGCAAGGUUAAGCAAACGCGAAGCCGUAGCGAAAGCGAGUCUGAAUAGGGCGCUUAGUCAGAUGCUGCAGACCCGAAACGAAGUGAUCUAUCCAUGAGCAAGUUGAAGCUAGUGUAAGAACUAGUGGAGGACUGAACCCAUAGGCGUUGAAAAGCCCCGGGAUGACUUGUGGAUAGGGGUGAAAGGCCAAUCAAACUUCGUGAUAGCUGGUUCUCUCCGAAAUAUAUUUAGGUAUAGCGUUGUGUCGUAAUAUAAGGGGGUAGAGCACUGAAUGGGCUAGGGCAUACACCAAUGUACCAAACCCUAUCAAACUCCGAAUACCUUAUAUGUAAUCACAGCAGUCAGGCGGCGAGUGAUAAAAUCCGUCGUCAAGAGGGAAACAACCCAGACUACCAGCUAAGGUCCCUAAAUCUUACUUAAGUGGAAAACGAUGUGAAGUUACUUAAACAACCAGGAGGUUGGCUUAGAAGCAGCCAUCCUUUAAAGAAAGCGUAAUAGCUCACUGGUCUAGUGAUUUUGCGCGGAAAAUAUAACGGGGCUAAAGUAAGUACCGAAGCUGUAGACUUGCGCACAACUUAGAUUAUUUAAGUUUAGAAUAUGAGAAACUAAGUUAUAU
rnacentral:rRNA from 1 species